CGGGCAUGGAAUGCAAGUGCCUAGCAGGCCACUUUUGGUAAGCAGAACUGGCGCUGUGGGAUGACCCAAACGCUGGGUUAAGGGGUCCGAUGCCAAUGCUCACCACCAGCCCGUCUCGUCCACUGCACUGGGGAAAUAGAGCAUGAGCAUACGUGUUAGGACCCGAAAGAUGGUGAACUAUGCCUGGGCAGGGCAAAGCCAGAGGAAACUCUGGUGGAGGUCCGUGGCGGUCCUGACAUGCAAAUUGGUCGUCCGACCUGGGUAUAGGGAUGAAAGACUAAUCAAACCAUCUAGUAGCUGG
rnacentral:ncRNA from 1 species